rnacentral:rRNA from 1 species
AGAGUUUGAUCCUGGCUCAGGAUGAACGCUGGCGGCGUGCUUAACACAUGCAAGUCGAACGGAGCGCCGGACACGGACUAUUUCGGUAGGAAGCGUGCGGAGGCUUAGUGGCGGACGGGUGAGCAACGCGUGGAUAACCUGCCGCAUACCGGGGGAUAACAGCUGGAAACAGCUGCUAAUACCGCAUAUGCCCGCAGUGCCGCAUGGCACAGCGGGGAAAACUCCGGUGGUAUGCGAUGGGUCCGCGUCUGAUUAGGCAGUUGGCGGGGUAACGGCCCACCAAACCGACGAUCAGUAGCCGGCCUGAGAGGGCGGACGGCCACACUGGGACUGAGACACGGCCCAGACUCCUGCGGGAGGCAGCAGUGGGGAAUAUUGCACAAUGGGGGAAACCCUGAUGCAGCGACGCCGCGUGAAGGAAGAAGUAUCUCGGUAUGUAAACUUCUAUCAGCAGGGAAGAAAACAGACGGUACCUGACUAAGAAGCCCCGGCUAACUACGUGCCAGCAGCCGCGGUAAUACGUAGGGGGCAAGCGUUAUCCGGAUUUACUGGGUGUAAAGGGGGCGCAGACGGCCAUGGCAAGCCCGGUGUGAAAGGCAGGGGCAUAACCCCCUGGACUGCACUGGGAACUGUCAGGCUGGAGUGCCGGAGGGGUAAGCGGAAUUCCUGGUGUAGCGGUGAAAUGCGUAGAUAUCAGGAGGAACACCGGCGGCGAAGGCGGCUUACUGGACGGCAACUGACGUUGAGGCCCGAAAGCGUGGGGAGCGAACAGGAUUAGAUACCCUGGUAGUCCACGCCGUAAACGAU